AAUGUUGUCUCUCUUGAGUGGAUCCUGAGUACGACGGAACACGUGAAAUUCCGUCGGAAUCUGGGAGGACCAUCUCCUAAGGCUAAAUACUCUCUAGUGACCGAUAGUGAACCAGUACCGUGAGGGAAAGGUGAAAAGCACCCCGGAAGGGGAGUGAAAUAGAACCUGAAACCGUGUGCUUACAAGUAGUCAGAGCCCGUUAAUGGGUGAUGGCGUGAAGGUAACGGCUUACCAAGGCAACGAUGCAUAGCCGACCUGAGAGGGUGAUCGGCCACACUGGAACUGAGACACGGUCCAGACUCCUACGGGAGGCAGCAGUAGGGAAUCUUCCGCAAUGGGCGAAAGCCUGACGGAGCAACGCCGCGUGAGUGAUGAAGGUCUUCGGAUCGUAAAACUCUGUUAUUAGGGAAGAACAUAUGUGUAAGUAACUGUGCACAUCUUGACGGUACCUAAUCAGAAAGCCACGGCUAACUACGUGCCAGCAGCCGCGGUAAUACGUAGGGGGCAAGCGUUAUCCGGAAUUAUUGGGCGUAAAGCGCGCGUAGGCGGUUUUUUAAGUCUGAUGUGAAAGCCCACGGCUCAACCGUGGAGGGUCAUUGGAAACUGGAAAACUUGAGUGCAGAAGAGGAAAGUGGAAUUCCAUGUGUAGCGGUGAAAUGCGCAGAGAUAUGGAGGAACACCAGUGGCGAAGGCGACUUUCUGGUCUGUAACUGACGCUGAUGUGCGAAAGCGUGGGGAUCAAACAGGAUUAGAUACCCUGGUAGUCCACGCCGUAAACGAUGAGUGCUAAGUGUUAGGGGGUUUCCGCCCCUUAGUGCUGCAGCUAACGCAUUAAGCACUCCGCCUGGGGAGUACGACCGCAAGGUUGAAACUCAAAGGAAUUGACGGGGACCCGCACAAGCGGUGGAGCAUGUGGUUUAAUUCGAAGCAACGCGAAGAACCUUACCAAAUCUUGACAUCCUUUGACAACUCUAGAGAUAGAGCCUUCCCCUUCGGGGGACAAAGUGACAGGUGGUGCAUGGUUGUCGUCAGCUCGUGUCGUGAGAUGUUGGGUUAAGUCCCGCAACGAGCGCAACCCUUAAGCUUAGUUGCCAUCAUUAAGUUGGGCACUCUAAGUUGACUGCCGGUGACAAACCGGAGGAAGGUGGGGAUGACGUCAAAUCAUCAUGCCCCUUAUGAUUUGGGCUACACACGUGCUACAAUGGACAAUACAAAGGGCAGCGAAACCGCGAGGUCAAGCAAAUCCCAUAAAGUUGUUCUCAGUUCGGAUUGUAGUCUGCAACUCGACUACAUGAAGCUGGAAUCGCUAGUAAUCGUAGAUCAGCAUGCUACGGUGAAUACGUUCCCGGGUCUUGUACACACCGCCCGUCACACCACGAGAGUUUGUAACACCCGAAGCCGGUGGAGUAACCUUUUAGCAAGGAGGUCACACCUGUUCCCAUGCCGAACACAGAAGUUAAGCU
rnacentral:rRNA from 1 species